rnacentral:lncRNA from 1 species
GCCAAAUUUUAGAAACUCUAUGACCCCAAAAUCUGAGUGGAUGUUUCUGUUGGAAUAAUUAAUUAUUUCAUAUGUGGGCUUCACGUUAGAUUGUAAAUUUUACGGGUUAGAUAUAUGACUCAUAAUGAUAUUUGUGUUUGAGCCAAAUUUAUUAAGUGAUCAAUUGGGCCUUUUACACCUUACGGAUUGUAAUUAAUUUUAUGUGGUAGUUCAAAGUAUGUGGACCGGAAAUAAACUCUAAUUAGAAUUCUAGUCGUAAUGGGACGACUCAAAUUAUUUCCUAUAUAUAAAGGUUAGGUUCCCUCUCCUCUCCAUAUGUUUAUUGGCUUGCCCCAUUGAUAGCUGAUUUUUGUGAGGAGUAAGGAGGGGAAGAUUUUGGCUACUAUUACAACUACUAUUCAUAUCAACAAUGGUUUCCGCACGUAUGAAUUCGUUUCUAUUAAUUUAUUGAAUUGUGAUUAUCGAUUCUUAACAUGAUUAAAACUAAGGAUUAACAAUUGGUAUCAGAGCCUACAUGUUAAGAUCGAAAUCCUUAAUGAAAUUCCUUUUCCUAUAUCCGUGAUCUGUGCAUAUAUUUAUAAUAUGAAUUAUUAUUAACAUGGCCCAACACCAAAUCCCAAAAUUAGAAUCUGUAAAAUCUGUGCAUAUAUUUAAAAUACGAAAUCACGUGAUUGAGUAACCCGGAACAAUACGAAUUCAGUUGACAGAAAUAUGAGAAUGUGUAGAAUCAGUACACGCUUCCAUUAUCCUCGAAUUGAGAUAGUUUGUAUUUCAAGAAAAGUAUGUUCCAUGUGUUGCUGAUAAAUAUUUUGAAUUUGUCAUCUGGGUCAUCUUAUUCUAGAGAUUCUUAAGGGGUUUAAUCAACAUGCGCUGAUACUAUUUUAAUAAUUUCGAGUCUUCAUGUUGUGGUUCUGAAAAAGAUAAGGGCUUGCAAAGAACCUUUUGUUGUACUGUGUAAUAGAAUUCGAAUAUGGUCACUUAUGCUUCAUGAUAGUCAUCUUAAUGUCGUGAAACUAUAUUCAGUUAUGUUUUAUGAAUACGCUAUUAACGAUGGCUUUGCAUUAAUUGAUGGAGAUUUCUAACACUAUUUUGAUUGUACUGUCUUUAUUGAUUGCCUUUUUUGAAAAGAAUAUUUGUGGGUUUUUGUCUAUGGUGAUUAUCAUGAAAGAAGAGAGAAAAAAAUCAGUUUCUGUGGGAAACCGGCCAAAGGUAGGCGGGGGCUUUUGCCGUAAAUAAUCAAUCUUUAAACCCCUGUUUGCAAUUAUCGGUUGGGGGUCGUAUUGUAAUUACUUAAAUACGGACCUGCCAUGCAAUUUUUAAUAUGAAGGACCUGAUCUUAAUUUGUGUUUAGUAUUAAAAUGUAAUUUUCAAUAAGGGGC